UACGGAGGGGGCUAGCGUUGUUCGGAAUUACUGGGCGUAAAGCGCGCGUAGGCGGACCUGCAAGUCGGGGGUGAAAGCCCGAGGCUCAACCUCGGAACUGCCUUCGAUACUGCGGGUCUCGAGUCCGGGAGAGGUGAGUGGAAUUCCUAGUGUAGAGGUGAAAUGCGCAGAUAUCAGGAGGAACACCAAUUGCGAAGGCAGCUCGCUGGGACGUUACUGACGCUGAGACGCGAAAGCGUGGGGAGCAAACAGG
rnacentral:rRNA from 1 species